GAAUAUUUUCAUUUAACCGGGCAAACCAGCCGCGAAAUAUUUCGCGAAAAUUGAAAUUGAAAAACCGAGGAAAUUCUGACGGAAACUAUCCGUCGGACCCUAGGUUUUAUAACGACGAAACACUUCUUCUUCCCCAUUUCUCUCUUCUUCCUCUCCGGCUCCUCUCCCUCCUAUCCGGCAAUCUCCCCCUUCUCUCUCUUCUUCUUCUCCGGCGAAUCCUCUCUAAACCUACACAAAUCAUGUAAGGACCCUAUCCCACUCUCUUAGGUUCUAUUUGUUAGGUUUUUGUAUAGAUUUGAUAGAUUUUUGUUAGGGUGAUUGGUUAGGAUUGUGAUUUGGUUGUAUAAUAGGUUUAGAAUUGUGAUUUGGUUGAAUAAUUUGUUUUGUUGAAUUGAUUUAGAAUUUUUUUAUAAUUUUUUUAUUUUUUGUAUUUAUAAAAUCGAUUUUUGUAUAUAAAAUCGAUUUUUGUAUUUUACAAAACGAUUUUUCUAUAUAAAUUCGAUUUUUUGGAUUUUACAAAAAAAAAUUUCUAUAUAAAUUCGAUUUUUUGGAUUUUACAAAACAUUUUAAUUAUUAAACAAUUUUUAUUUAUUAAAACUAUUUUUUGUUUAUUAGAACUAUUUUUAUAUAUUUAUUAAAAAAAUUUAAUAUAUAUAAAUCUUUUUCUGUGAUUAAAUUAUUUGGGAUUUUUUUUUAAUAAAAAAAAUUAAUUUAUAUAUUUCUGUAUUUAUUAAAUAUAUUUUUUUUAAUUUACAGGUCUCAUGAUGAUCAGACCCGGCCUCGACAACAUCGUGGUCGUGGUGGUACGGGGAGCCAG
rnacentral:lncRNA from 1 species